ACGAACGCUGGCGGCGUGCUUAACACAUGCAAGUCGAACGGUGAAAGAGGAGCUUGCUCCUCUGGAUCAGUGGCGAACGGGUGAGUAACACGUGAGUAACCUGCCCUUGACUCUGGGAUAAGCGUUGGAAACGACGUCUAAUACCGGAUACGACAACCGAUGGCAUCAUCUGGUUGUGGAAAGAAUUUCGGUCAAGGAUGGACUCGCGGCCUAUCAGCUAGUUGGUGAGGUAAUGGCCCACCAAGGCGACGACGGGUAGCCG
rnacentral:rRNA from 6 species